rnacentral:rRNA from 1 species
GAUGAACGCUGGCGGCGUGCCUAAUACAUGCAAGUCGAGCGAACGGACGAGAAGCUUGCUUCUCUGAUGUUAGCGGCGGAGGGGAGAGUAACACGUGGAUAACCUACCUAUAAGACUGGGAUAACUUCGGGAAACCGGAGCUAAUACCGGAGAAUAUUUUGCACCGCAUGGGUCAAAAGUGAAAGACGGUCUUGCGGUAAGUUAUAGAUGGAUCCGCGCUGGAUUAGCUAGUUGGUAAGGUAACGGCUUACCAAGGCAACGAUGCAUAGCCGACCUGAGAGGGUGAUCGGCCACACUGCAGCUGAGACGCGGUCCAGACUCCUACGUGAGGCAGCAGUAGGGAAUCUACCGCAAUGGGCGAAAGCCUGACGGAGCAACGCCGCGUGAGUGAUGAAGGGCUUCGGAUCGUAAAACUCUGUUAUUAGGGAAGAACAUAUGUGUAUGUAACGGUGCACAUCUUGACGGUACCGAAUCAGAAAGCCACGGCUAACUACUU